ACCCCGUGAGGGGGUGGUGUUGCUGGCUUCUCAGUGACUCCGCAGUGGAAAGUCCCAGCCUCACAGCGCCCUGCCCCAGGGUCGGGAGCCAGCAGCCUUGGGAGAGGCAGGUUCCGACUUUGCUCUCCUCCGGAGAUGUCCCUUUCCCUUCCCAAGGAUACUGAGAUGCUGGAGCUGAGGAACGAUGGGGGAAAGUGUCCUUGCCAAAAGAGACGUGGACUUGGGGCUUUUAUUUCUGGAGCUGGCUGUCUAGCUCUCCUAAUGAGCGAAUAUGCUCUCUUUAAGGAAACAAACAAACAAAGCAAAAACACCAAUUCAUCUGGAUUUUAUUCAUUUGUUUUAAAUGCAAACAAACAAAAGGAGAGGGAGAAGUGGUUAUUUCUGCACCAACUAUUUCAAAUGCAAGUUACUCCAUUGCUCGGGGUGUUUGGAUGUGCUUGUCGCCAUAGGACCCACAGGGCUAGUUCCAACCGUUAUUCGAUGAAGAAAUGGAGAUGCAUCAAGGUCACAUAAUUGCUGACAGACACAGCUAUUUAACAGUGGAGUCAAGACCAGAGGAGAGCACAUCUGGAGGUUUCUUCUCUCCAUCUCUCCCUUGGAUGUGCUGCUUCAGACCCGGCCCUCCUUCCCACGGCCCUCUCCCCUCACAUUUUCAUCGCCUCAGAGAGGAGACAGAUUUCCCAUGACCACUUGUGCCUAACGGCCAGUCUCAAGCCUUCAGAUCCUCCUAGGCAACUCAUCUUGACCUCAACGAUCACUUCCUGACUUGCUGGGCUGCAUCAACCUUCUGGCCUUGCCUCCAUUUGAUCCCUUUGGCCUCUGCUGAACCUUGGGACUUAAGGCCCCCAGCUCAGGGCUCCUCUCACCACUGCCAAUGACCUGUUUGUUCCCAGCUCCCCGGGACUGGUCUGCUUAUCAUGUCUCUAAUCCCUGUGGUUGGAGCUGUGAAGAAAAAGCUUCUGGGCAAGAUGCCACUAGCAAGCCUGUCUCCCUAGGAACAGACCCCUUUUCUCUCUAGUCGUUCAGAAACCUACCCCUCCUCUCACAGCUGUGUGAAAAGAAGCCAAAUGCCCAUUCUUAAUGUGUGACGACUGAGGCUCACAUGCAGACUGCUGUUAUCUCAGCAGGAGAGCAAUUUGCAACCAUUUAAAACCCGUUCUCUCUUCCCCUCUCCUCAGUGUAUGCUUACACACACCCUAGUCCAUA
rnacentral:lncRNA from 1 species